AAUAUUGCACAUUGGGCUAAAGCCUGAGGCAGCCACGCCGCGUGAUCUAUGAAGUCCUUCGUGUCGUAAAGCUCUGUCCUAAGUGUCGAUAAUGACUGUACCUUAGGCGGAAGUCCCGUCUAACUACGUUCCAGCAUACGCGGUAAUACGUAGGGGGCAAGCGUUAUCCGGAAUCAUUGGGCGUAAAGGGUUCGUCAGCGUCCCUAUAGGUCAGAGGUCAAAGGCUACGGCUCAACCGUAGUAAGCCUUUGAAACUGUAGGGCUUGAGAGCAGGAGAGGAGAGUGGAAUUCCUAGUGUAGCGGUGAAAUGCGUAGAUAUUAGGAGGAACACCAGUGACGAAGGCGACUCUCUGGACUGCAACUGACGCUGAGGCACGAAAGCGUGGGGAGCGAACAGG
rnacentral:rRNA from 1 species